UUCUCUCUCUCUCCUGCUACUCUCUUUUUCUCUCUCUCGCACUGCUCCUCCAGCUGCUGCAGCUGCACCAGCACCACUGUUUGUUUCUGAAAGUGGUUAAUUACAACUAAUUUUUAGUUGGCCCAUAUUUUUUUUUAUACUUAUACAGAUAUGUCUUUAUACUAGCAAGCAGCCUGUUGGCAACUAGCUAAGCUUAAGACUUCACGUGUAGCAUCAAGACAACCCUGUGUGUGAAACUCAAAUACAUUUAGAUCUAUAGAUAUAUUCUGAUCUGAUCUGAUUAGCGCGUUUGGCACAUGUUUGGACACACAACCUGACAGAAUCAACACAUCUGAAACCGCAUUAAAUUAGACACCCAGUAAACAGUCACACAUGAUGAAGUUAACAAGAUAUUUAAUUUGUCCCCCUUUCUCUCUUACUCCUUUUUCUCACGCAAUUCGACUCGGACAUGUCUCUGUGUCCUUUCCCCAUCCUGAUGCUGCAGCGGCAAGGCUGAACAGAUGAUUUAUUGUAGUGAUCAGAUGAGUUAUUUACUUUGAAAGUAAAUGUACUUUAUUUUACUUUGAAAAUUUGAACAAAAAAGUAAAACAAACUUUCAAUCAAAAUAACCCGUUUAUCUAAUGUCCUCAUAUCCUUAAAAUUCUAAGAAUAUUCAUUCCGGAGUCAGGCCCACAUACGAAUAUUAUAAUAUUCAAUUUUGUGAGCCAAAUUCAUUUUAUAUGCCAACAUCUAUGAAAGAAAGCCAGGCUACCGAGCGCGAUGCAUCCUUUAUGCACAGGCGGUUCCGAUUUUAAUGCCAUGAUUGGAGUUUAUGUUGUGAUCUCUGCGCACAACCCACCUUUGUCAUGUGGGGUUUAAAUAUAUGCAACUUAAUGUGAGUGUCUUUAUUUGUGAAAACGGGUGUUUGUCUUACCAGUGGGUCCAACAUUACACACACCAAAUCCCUCAGUGCUUAUUUGAGAAAGUGUGCAGGACGCCCUCUGCAGCGCUUACAGUGACAUUUAUUGAGGGGCUGCCUUCUGUCGCCAUCAUGUUGCGUUGCUGUCUUCAGACAUCUCUUGAUCUCUUCGACUACUGCACGAAAAUUGUAAUAUGCCUCACCUGUGGCGGAUUUAAAGGUGAGGAGAGGAGCUGAUAUGAUUGGUGAAAACAGGUAUCGGCUGUGUUAAACCUACUCCAUGCCUUCUCUCCUCCCUCUCUAUGACUUAUGCUGCUGGGAGGAGCUGAGUUAGGGAGGGGUGAUACUUGAUGGUGAUACUGCACCACUCACCAAAAUACCAAAAUGUGCUUGGGCAGGCCUUAUCAGUGCGGCGGACUUGACUUACGCCAAAACUUCAACCUUUUGUGCACAUAGCAAUUCAAGACUAAGCCUUUAAUAAAUUUUUCUUUAAUUUCACAUAGUUAAUUUUUAAAUAGUUUUGAUUGGCCACUGAGCCUCUUUUUCUGAGUCAUCUGCGUGAUUUCAAAGUCACCUCUGAACGCCACCCAGAGUCAUCCUCUUUGCCAGAAUUUUGAGUGAGACCAAAGGAGCAUCCAAAAGAUACAUAAGACACUGGUUUUCCUUUUCGGGCCUGAGUGCUGCAACUCCUGGCCCAUCUUUCGGCUGACUUCGGUUGUCUUCUGAGCUAAACCUCUCGAACUGUCGGUAGGCCCAGACCUUCGGAACCUGCUCCAUCUUCUCCAAGGACCGGUCUCACUAAAGUAUGCAAACCUCCAGAGCUCCAAACAGGGCUGAUGCUGUCUCAUACAUUCAUGAUUGAAAUAAUAAUUUUCUUUAUAAUCCUAAAUUCAUCCAAAUCCACAUCGAAAUUCAUCUUGACACUAAAAUUAGUGUAGGUUAAUAUGUUAGCGCAUAUUCACUCACUAUCAUUAACUUUAGUGCUCCGAGCCUGACUCAAAGUCUUUUAUUAUUCACCUAUUAUUAUUUAUCCUCACUAUCUGUCAUCAUUUUUUGCAUGUAUGUUGUAACAUCAUUUAUCCUGUAACAAACAGAUCAUUAUUUUUCUAAGUUCUUGUCUGUUAGUGUUCUUCCAGAAGUGGAGUCCCUGAAAUUAGAAUUUUGGCUUGAGAUAUGAGACUGAUUAACUAAAACUGUCUUGAUGUUUGAUUUCUGAAUUAAACUUUUUUUUUUUUUUUCUUCCCACCAUUAAGUGUGGGUGGUGCCCCUUUCAAUGAGUGCAUAAACGUCAUAAUUUAAGAUAAAUAAUCUUCAGUCAUUUAUUAUAAAUUCAAAUCACUACACACAUGAGCAUACAGACAUUAGCAGCAGCAGUCUGGAAUGGACUACGUUAACUAGACUUGGCUUUUGCAGAACAAGCAAACUGGUUUCACCUUUGGGGAAAAAAGUAAUCAACAGCUGCUUCCCCUUAUUCAGCUGUCUUUCUUUUUCUUCCCUCCCUUUCUUCUUUUGAUACUCAGAUGUAUGCAUUUUGGGGUCCACGAUGUCUUCCCCCAGGUCACAGUCUGGGCCCACUGACAUUGCAUUUGUUGCCGGUCGCUGUCAGGCAGACUAAAUCAUAAUGAAAAACAGGCGAGAUGCUUUCAGUGACACAGUUUAAUGACUUUUAUGUUUUUCAUCCACAAUCAAAAACCCAUAAUUGAAAAGCUCACAACAACAUGUUGAUCUGAGAAAAGUCUAGUUAUAGAUGUCUUUACAAACACACUGAUCCAACAGAAGCAGACAGAAAUAUCCAUCGAUGACAUGAAUACAAAUAUUCAGCGAACAGAGAAAGCACAGAUCAUUUGAUGUGUUUUGGGGAAGACUGGAAGGACUUUUGACAGUUGGAUUUGGGCCAGGAAAUAAGGUUGUGCUCUUUCAUCUUUCUGUUAUUUUGAUGUCACUUUUUUUCUAAAGUCUCAGACCUUCAAAAUUUACACCAACUGAAGGUGAUUUGAACAAAUGAUCAUCUUGAAGAAAUUUUAAAAUGUGAAAUUCAAACAAUCAAAGUUAUCCACAAUCACUGUCCUUAUAACUGCGUCCAAAUUAGCAUCUUUAGAAAAGAAUAAAAAAGCUGAAAUGAAGAACUAAACCGAUAGUUUCUGGUGUGACUGAUCCACAAACAUUUACAAACCAGAACAUUUUAAGAGUUCAAUGGUCACAGUUACAUGCUGUUGGUCUGAUUGACUCAAAAUGUUCUUUAUUUCAGUUCAAUAAACUCAGCAGAGCCUUCAUUAUACCAGGGUGACAGUCCAGCAUGUAGCGGCUCAGUGAAUGUGGUCUUAACUCUGUGGAGGAGAGUCAUGGUUUCAGAGACGCUGUAGAAGGACAGAAUACCUGCUCUGUGAUCCAGGUACACUCCUACUCUUGAGGACUGAGGACCUGUGAUAGGAGUGAUGUCUUUGUUGUGCACAAAUUCAUACCUGUCUUUAUAACAGCACAAUCUCCAAGAUUUGUCGUUGUUUCCAAAUACACAGUUCUCUAAGUUUCCUGCUCUUCUGAUAUUCUUGUAUGCGACUGCUACAUAAACCCCGUCCCCUCUCCAGUCCACCUCCCAGUAACAACGUCCAGUCAGACUCUCUCUACUCAGGACCUGAAAAUUACCAGUGAAUCUGUCUGGGUGAUCAGUAUAAGACUGUUUUUGUUUGGUUGAUGUUGCUUUUCUGUUUCCUUUAGAUAAUGACAGCCGUCUGUUCGCUGUGUUUGGAUCCAGUGUGAUUCUUUGCGAAUAUCUUAGGAAACCAGCUCUGGUCUUUGGUUCUGGUUCUGGUUCUGGUGGUUCUAACAGUAAAACAUCCACUUCAGUCACUGCCUGUGAGAUGUUUGUCCAUGUCUCUGUAAGAAGAUCCUGGAGUUUCUCUCUGAGCUCUGACAAAGCUGCUGUCACCUCCUCAAAGUAUCUUAGAGGACAGAUGUUGAUUCUGGAUGAGUCUGCAGGUUGACCUGGUCCUGACAGUGAGGGGUAGCUGUACAGAAACUGGUUGUGGUCUUCUGUGAGAAAGAGCUUCUGCAGAUCAGCAUCUUUCCUCUUAAGCUCAGUGAUCUCCUGCUCCAACUUCCCCUGAAGCUCUUUGACUCGACUCACUUCACGUUCCUGCUGGGAUCUGACCUCCUGCUCCAUGUCAGAGCCGCAUUUCUCCAUGAGACGGAUCAGCUGACUGAAGAUCUUCUGGCUGUGCUCCACAGCUUUAUCAGCAGAGCCGUUGAUAGCCUCCACCUCCUGUUGGAGCAGCUUCACAUCUUCCUCUCUGUCCUGGAUUCUCUGCUGGAUGUUUUCUCGACUCUCCUCCAGAUCUUUCUGCCUCUCAGCUCUUUCUGCUGCAGCUGAGACUGUGUCGUGGCCUUUGUGUUGUUCCACAGAGCAGAGAUAACAGAUAGACUGUUGAUCAGUGCGGCAGAACAUCUUCAUCACCUCAUCAUGACUAGAGCAGAUGUUCUCCUGGAGCUUCUUGGAGGGCUCCACCAGCUUGUGUUUCUUUAAUGGAGCGACUUCAAAAUGAGGCUGGAGGUGAAUCUGGCAGUAAGAAGCCAGACAUUGCAGACAGGACUUGACAGCUUUCAGUUUUCUCCCACUGCAGAAAUCACAAGCCACAUCUUCAGGUCUAGCAUCAGAGAGAUCAUCAGGAGCCGCUUGGAGUCCGCUCUUCUUCAGUUCUUCCACUAAACCUGCUAACAUGGUGUUUUUCAUCAGUACAGGCCUCGGUGCAAAGGUCCGUCUGCACUGAGGACAGCUGUAGAUCCUCUUCUCAUCCUCAGUAUCCCAGUGGGAUUGAAUACAGCUCAUGCAGAAGCUGUGUCCACAGGUAACAGUCACCGGAUCCUUCAAUAGAUCCAAACAGAUGGAACAAGAGAAAGAUUCCUGGUCCAGCUGAACCCCUUUCUGCGCCAUUUCAACACUCACUGUCGACAGUGACUGACUGAGUUUCUCCUCCUGAGAAGUCAAACUAGUCUGGGCUCUGAUCUCAAGUCAGCUCAGUAUAUGCCGGUUACACCCAUCCUCAGACUGUACACCUGAUCAGAUGUGGGAGGGGAAAUCCAGUUUUUCUACAAUCCAGGUGGAGGAGCGGCAUUGUGAACUCUAGACAUUCAAACUUCAACAAGCAGAGGUUAUUCAAGCUGCAGCUUCACUAAAUGCACCAACAGUUAUUUACCUCAAAUAAUCCUCAUCACAGAAACACUUCCACUGUUUUAUCCUGAUAUCCGAACAUAUUUAAAUAUACACCACAUAUAAACACUCUCUUUCUCUCUCUCUCUCUCUCUCUCUCUCUUUCUUUCUCGCUGGCUAGUUGACCUCUGAGGGAGCAUUAGUUUUUCUGACUGGGGAAUCCCACUGGAUCUAGAAUGGCUCAACGCAUCAGGUGGCAUGUAGAGGAAGCCUCAGAGCUGAAACUACAGCAGAGGAGAUGGUGGGGAAUUUUUUUUUUUUUUGGCGCUCCUAUGUUUACUUUAAUUGGACUUUGCAGAACAAGUAAACUGGGUUCACCUUAAGGAAAGAAAGCAGUGAACAUCUGCCUCCCCUCAUUCUGCCAUCUUACUUAUUCUUCCUUCCCUUUCUUCUUUUGAUACACAGAUUUAUGCUUUUUGGGGAGCAUGAUGUCUAGCCCCCAGGUCACAGUCUGGGCUCACUGACAUUACACUUGUCACCAGUCACUGUCAGGCAGACUAAACCCUAAACAAAAACACGUGAGGUGCUUUCUGUAACAGUUUGAUGAUUUUUAUAUUUUUCACCCACAUUUAGAAUCUCGCAACUGAAAAGCUCACAACAUGUUGAUCUGAAAAAACUGUCAUUAUAGAUGUCUUAACAAACACACUGAUCCAACAGAAGCAGACAGAAAUAUCCAUUGAUGACAUGAAUACAAAUAUUCAGCACACAGAGAAAGCACAGAUCAUUUGAUGUGUUUUUGGGGCAGACUGGAAAGACUUUCGACGAUUGGAUUCGGGAUAGGAAAUAAGGUUGUGCCUUUUCAUCUUUCUAGCGCUAUUUUGACGUCACUUUUAUUCUCAGUCUCUUCAACAUCUGCACCAACUGGAGGGGAUUUGAACAAAUUAUCAUCUUGAUGUUGUUGCUAUCAAACUUUAGUGUAAAUUUUUUGAAAUGAGAAAUUCAAACAAUCAGUUAUCCACAAUCACUGUCCUUAAAGCUGCGUUCAAAUUAGCAUCUUUAGAAAAGAAUAAAAAAGCUGAAAUUAAAAACUAAUCUAAGAGUUUCUGGUGUGACUGAUCCACAAACAUUUACAAACCAGAACAUUUCAAGAGUUCAAUAAUCUUAUUUACAUGUUUUUGGUCUGAUGGACUCAAAACUCUGUUUUAGUUGAAUAAACUUAGCAGAGUCUCCAUAACUGUAGCCUAACCCCAGUCCAACGUGUAGCGGCUCAGUGAAUGUGGUCUGGACUCUGUGGAGGAGAGUCAUGGUUUCAGAGACGUUGUAGAAGGACAGAAUACCUGCUCUGUGAUCCAGGUACACUCCUACUCUGAAAGAUCGAAGACCUGUGACAGGAGUGAUGACUUUGUUUUGUACAAAUUCAUUCUCUGUUUACCCCUCUCAUAAUCCUUUCUCAAAUCUGUGUCUCCUCUUUGUCUGCCGUCCAGAAAGUUGAUCUUCUGCAGUGUUCCCAGCUGAGCCAUGUGGUCUCUCACAGAUGUCAGGUCUAGAUUAUCCUAAACGAGAGGAUUCGGGAGCUCAAUCUGGUGUAAUUUGAGGGUUGAUAACUGAUAUCACCUCUGAAAAUAGGGAAUGUCUGCACUGUAAGAGGGACUGCAAAGGCCAACUUUAAUUGGCCUUUGCAUAACAAGAAAACUAGGAUCACCUUUGGGAAAGAAAUCAGUCAACAGCUGCCUCCCUUCAUGCUGCUGUCUUUCUUUUUUUCUCCCUCUCUUUCUUCUUUUAAAACCAAGAUUUAUGCUUUUUGGCUAGCAUGAUGUCUAACCCCCCAGUCAUUCAGUCUGGGCUCACUCACUGGUGUUACACUUAUCGCCAGUCACUGGUGGGCGGACUAAACCAUUUUGCGCCUCCAAGAGAGGGCCCCCAGAAUGUCUAGUAUGUUGGGAGGACUAUGACAUAUAGUUCAUUCUCUCAGUUGAUGUUAUUAAUGUAUUUGAAAUAAAUUAUGACCCCAAUAUAUAGUAGGGUCUGAUUCAUUCGAAAGGAUUUUUAUGGGCCCCUUCUCCCUCCUUGGGCCCUGGGUAGUCAGGUCCAUUUUUCCCCUGCCACGCCCAUGCUCUAAGAUACUGCAGUCCAUUGUUGAGGAGUUUCAGUUGAGUCGGUCCUUCUAUCAAGUGGGUAGUUUGACAUCUAUGUGUUGUGGGAGUAUUGCAGGGUUCUCGCUCAAACAAUCACAAUAAAGUGGAAAACACAGCAGAGUCAGACAAACGCAGGGAUAGGGAUGUUUAUUUACAGCUGGUCCAAAUAAAAAAAAUAAAAUAAAAAAGAAAGAAAGAAAGAGAGGCAAGAAUUCUGCAAAAACUCAAGGACUAUUAAAAAGCAAUACAAAUGUCAGUUUGUCAGUUAUCUCCAUAGCCCCUCCCACUGUGCAUUAUUAACUACAUAAUCUUGGGGAAAACACAUUUUAUUCAUGUUUAAACUUUGUCAACCCCUUUAAGUCUUUAGAUCUUUUACUGUAAGUUUUUACCAUUUUAACAAGGUUUUUACUCAAAUCAAUAGAGCAUAAAUGUAUUAUGGCAUUUAAGUUCUUCAAAGAUGUUCAGUUAUCCAAAGUUUUUAUGUAAACCGUGUUUAGAAAAUUUUUGCUGUUGCUUUUGUAGUUUGGGCUUUUUUUUUCAUAGAGCUGGUUGCUUGUUUCUCUCAGGAGAUCUGGCAACACUGCAAGGGAUUAUUUUCUCCUGCGUCAUGUGACCACUUUUGCCCACCAUACCUACCUAUUUACCACACGGCAAUCAUGUCCUCUGUUUCCUCACUUAGAAACAUGAGCCGGCAUGAUGGCGUGAAUGGACGCACCUUGGGCGGGUAAGAAGAAGAAUGACUCUCUGUGUAAAUGUAUAUUUAAGUUAAAAGAUAGCGCUCCGAGUGUGCACCCUCGGUUACACUAGUGACAAUGUUUACCGGGUAAUUAGAAAUGCUGACGGGGGAGGAAAAUGUUUGGCGCUUCUCUGUGCGCUCCCCCCGGAGUCAGUAAAGACGCCGCUCCGUCACAGGGAGCCAUUGUGAAGUGUAGACAAGGAGGACAUUCUCAAAAGCCCUUUUCAUGUUGCAAGCUUGAGGUGCAAUAUUUCGCACCUGUAGAGUCAUACCUUCAACAUAAAUGUCACUGAGGCAUAAAAGUGGGACCAAGCUGUCCCGCUGUGGCACUGAAUAGAAAGAAACAGAGGCAGUUCAGGGGGAGAAAUAGGACCACCAUGAGCUGGUAUAGAAGGUAGUGGUCGAGAGAGGCACAAGUCAAAGUCACUUUUCAAGUCAUUUGGAGGCAGCGGAAAGUCCGUGCUGGCACACAAUUCCAACAAUUAUUACCAUAAAAAGUAUAUUUAUUUUGCGCUAGGGUUGUCAAAUUUGGGGAAUUCUCAAAGUUGGAAACUUUCCACAGGAAUUAACAGGAAUAAAUCUGAAAUUUACAAAAAUUGAAGGUUGGCCCUCAACAGGGAACUUAAAUAUAGUUGAGGAAAAUAUGUUGCAGCAUAAUCUCGACUAAAACAACCAGAUUUAAUGCAGGUACACUCCUCAAUCACAUGCACACAGCACAAUGCUUACUGCAGGGCUAUUGAGGCCACAACACCUACAUGCACUGUGCAUUCCUCCAUCACAUGUACAGAUGAUUUCUUGAACCCUAGAGGCCACACUUCUGAGCCCAGAGCACAAGACAUUUGAGUCCACAGACUAUUUUAAGUCAAGUAAGUUCUGAUAAUAUUAUGGAGUAAAUACAUUUGAUCUAUAAUAGUAAAAAUAACAAUAAGUGCUAACUGUAAGCUAUUUUUUCAUUUCAUUGACCAUCGAAGGGACUAGCUUAUUAUGGUGGUGGUAGCUACCUCAAAUGUGAUGCUGUUCCUUCUGACUCCAGCAAGACAGUUUUCUGAAACCAUACAAUAAUUUAUACAUCAAUUGUCAAAUAUUUUAAAGACCAUUCCAGUUGUUUAGCCAAUUAUAUUUCUGUUCAUGCCAUUGCAUUAGUGAUUUUACAAGCUUGUUUGUUAUUUUAUUCUAAAGAAAAAUGUCACGUUCGCCAUCUGAUGUGUGUCAUGUUUUUAAAUUAUAUUAUUUUGCAUGGAUGUCUGCUUAUGACCAAAACAAAAAUGUUUACAUUUAUGUUUGGAUAUGAUACAGUUUGUUUAAAUGACCCCCAGUUUCCAGGUAAUUCCCAUAAAUUCCAAAUUGGAAAGUUUCCAAUUUGGAAUAUUUCCAAAAUUCCAGGGCUGAACUUCCCAUGAAAAAAUUCUGGUAAUUUUCUGCCCCUUUGCAACCCUAUCUAGCACCCAUUCUUUUGGCCAAUGGUUUCACCCAGAGCUACUCCAGUUAGUUAAAUUGUUCCACUGCUGAACUAGAGCAAGGACAGAGAGAUUAUGUAGCUCCCGGCUCCUCUGGAUGACAUAAUCAGACCAACCACGUACGAACGGAGAGGAAGUAAUUAUUAAUGUUGUGUCAUACCAGCAGGACAGAGUACGCUAGUGAGAAUAGAUCCUUGGUGUAGUCCACCAAAGACUAAUAACACCACUGGCUUUUCUUUUGUGCAGCUGUUUUGUGAUGAUAUCCACACUACUGCAUCUAUAGAAUCUGUUGGAGGUAAUCACACUGCUUCCUUGUAUUUGUCACUGUAGCUACAGGAUAUUUACACCAAUUCCCUCUGUAGACUCUAUCACAGGUUAUAACAGAGACAGACUAAGUUUUGCAUGCAGGCCAUGGACAGACGACUCACGCUUACAACAGUGAGUUCAGCCAGAGGUCAACACUAAGUACAGUGCUCAUUCAUUUGUAAAUGGGAGCCAAGGUUGAUGCACAGUGACACCUUUGCCAGUCAAGCUCAGUGUUGAUCCUCCAUGGAUGCUAUCAGACUAUAAAUGACCUAUGAUCCAUUGUUAUCACUGCCACCACAACACAACGGGUGAGAUGCGAAGUGAACAAUCAACUGUUGUAAUCAUAACGAUCACAGCAAACAAUACAUCAUGGCAUCUUAGUCACUUAGAAAAACAGUCUUUAAACCCAUUGGCUGUUAGCAUAUAUGACUGCUGGAAGAAGAGCUUACUCGGCUCCGAGCGUAGCCAGCCCUGUGUGACUAAGGACCUCUUUUUUUUCAUUUUCUUUAUGCUUUUUAAAAAUUUUUAUUUUUAUUUUUAAAUUUUAGCAGUAACCAUAUUUUUCACCCAAUAACUGGUAGAUAGAUCAAAUUGCAGCAAGUAGCCUAAAAGUCUUGAAUAUUGAUACAUUUCAACAAAAAAGCAUAAAGUGCUUCACUCUUACAGAAAACUUCAAACGUUUUCAAAGUUGAGAGCUUAAAGAAUCUAAGUAGAAAUGAAAUUUAAAACAAAACUUUUUGUUUUUUGUAAAAUCAAAGUGCUCCUUGAUGAUAUCAGACCAUCCUUGUAUAAAUCAAAGUGAGUUUCCUGUUUUAAAUAAACCGAUUGAAAAAAUGCUUCAGUAAAAUUGCUCAUAUGAUGCAAAGAAUCCAUUUGGGUUUUUGUUCUGCUCUAAAUUUAAUGCUUAAUGACGCACUUUGGAGUUUUUGAUGAUUUUGAUGACUCAGAGAGGCGCCUCACUUUAGCAUCUCAUGCAGAGCAGAACAGGGCUCUGACCGGGGUGAAAACAGGUCAUACACUGACAGGUUGACAGGAGCUGCAGCAGCAAAAUACUGUAAAAGCACCCUCUUGAACUUUUAUGUUUCUUUUUAAAGUUUGUUUUGGGGCUUUUCUGCAUUUUUUUUUUUUUUUUUUUUUUUUUUUUUUUUUGACAGGAGAGUAUUUAAAGUAGUAAAUGGGGAGACAAUGAAAUGAAAGAGCCACAGAGCCAAAAUCAAACCUGGACCCUGUUACUUCCAUUUUUAUUUUUAAUGAUAACUGAGCUCAAUGAUCAGACUUGAAUUAAAGCCAACAGUCUAACCAUAGAUUCACAGUAUGUGCUACUUUUUACAGCAACACACGACUUGAGGAUAAAUGAAGACUUAGUUUUGUUUUACAGUAGUCUGGGUACUAUGUGAUCUAUUAUUCACAAAAUAAUGCUGCAGUAAAGCUCAGAAAAAAAGCAACUUCAAUAUAUUUACUUCCAAAUAACCUAAUUUACUUUCAUACAUUCAAACAUUAAUGCAUUCAUAUGACAUACUGAAACACUGUGGUUUGGUUUUUUGAAGCUGAUACAGUAGAUUUGGGAUAUAUGUUGACGCAUCCCUCAAUCUGAAUGAAAAAAUAGAAUAUCGUUUUCUCUGUCAAAUAAGUGUGAAUUCAUAUCCUCUGUACAUACAAUACUUCUAUAUGCAUAUAUACCUGUAUCUGCAUGUUUGUCACUCCUCUAGGUAUUCUGUUUAAGUGAGUUGGCAGGGUUGCAGUGUUGAUUAAUUUACUUCUGCUGAAACAAUCUAAAAACAAUCUAAAUGUAAAUGUAACCUCUCUAUCUGUGUCUCCCAGACUAUAAUGAGAAGAGAAUUUAAAUGACCUGGUUGCUUUUUAUCCAUUUUGACGCAACACUGAAAUUUACAGAGAGAAGAAUUCUGUGUAAACAAAAAGAACUUAUGUGUUGGAAAGGAAAAAUCCUCCCAGGCUUAACAAGACUUUCACAUUAGAAAGAAGUUUGUUCAGAUUGAUGGAAUAUAACGAGAGAUUGAAAUGGUUUGGAGGCUAAUCUGCAACAAAAAUAUGUGUCUUUCAUUGGACCUGAUUUUGUUUGGAGACUUUAAAAUGAUGCUUGAGCAGCGUAGCAGCUGGCCUGUCUGUGUGCUCGACACUUGGGUGUGUGUUCAUUCACAGCUGAGUCAUAACUUUUGAAGUGAAGGCAUGUUUUUACAUCCCAAAAUGGACCACUUUUGGUCUCUCCUUUUCACACUAACAUCCUCAGUACAAACUUUACAUUCAGGUCCUCCUAUUUGUAUGUGUUCAGACUUUCACCUUAUAUAAUCAUGGUCCCAAAUUACAGCUUUGAAGGGUUUCUUCUGCACUGAAAGAUCUCUAAAGUAGACUCUAGGCUGCCAGCAGAGGUAAACCUCAAAAACUGACACCUUAAUUGUAAACCCACUUUUCUCACUUCUAUCUGUGUGUAAUUUCUGCAAAGGCAUUGGUCCGGCAGAUCUCAUAGACCUGGUCAUAUGCUGAAAAAAUAGCCAUCAAACACCAUGUAGGUAAAGACUGUAAUCUGUAAACUUUCCAACCCAAGUCCAGUUUUAUCAGGUGGCAGGAAACCUUUUAUGGGGUCUGCUAUCAAAACCUGAAAUGAUCGUAAAGUGGAAGUUUGGAAGAAACUGUCAGACACAAGCAAAACCAAACUACUUGACUUUUUUUAGAGGCUUCAUUGUGACUUCAUUUUUAUUCAUUUUUUUGUGAGAAAAAACUACAAAGCAGACCAUGCAGUAACAAAAAUAACAAAAAGAGAUUGAAAUCUUGGUCUGACAUCAACACCCCACAAAAUCCACAAAUUCCAUAUCAGUGAGAUUUAAAGAAAAGACUGGAAACACGGUUAUCUGACAGUAUGAGGCUAAACAAAUUAAAAUAACACCUAGAAAUGUGUCAUUUUACGAGUUUGUUUACUCAGUAAAUCAUUUUCAGGAAGCUGGGUCAGUCAAAUAUAAAGCGCUCACUGCUUCAUACAAAAUUCACAUACAGAACUGCUUGCUGAAAGAACUAACACGCUCCUUCUCACACAGUAAUUAUAGAUCACAUUCAGAUUUUGUGGGGAAAAAAUAGUACAGCAGCCACACAGUGUGACAAAAAUAAGAUGCUCUUUUUAGAAAAAAAAAUAAAAAAUUCAUAUGUUGUUUUAAAUUUUAUUUAAGUUUAAAUUCACUGAAUAACUUCAUUAUUAACUGAUGCAGCAGCUCAGCCACAAAUGCUCAAAAAGUGGUUUGUUCGAUUUAGGGGGGUCAUGGCACAAAAAAGUUUGGGAACUGCUGAAAUAGCUGAUCUAAAAGAAUAUAUGUAUGAUAAUAUCAAUUAUUAAGAGCCAACAUUCAAUCCAUAAAUUAUGCAUUGAUCCCCCAUCCCUGUUUGCUAUUGUUUGUCUCCAGGUGCCUAAACUGGGGCCAGUUCUUUCAGAUGAGUUCAAGCGAUCAGUAAGCAAGGAUCGUAGACAGAUACGCAAACAAUUCAUUUCAUACAGUUGGCCAGGAUGGCAUCAUUCAUUAAGAUAGCUUAUUCAAAAAUAUAGAGUGUCUAGUUAUGAGAAAUAGUAACUUUGGAGGGGGCAGCCACAAAGUUAUUAAAGGUUUUAAAUUAAAGGAUGAAAAGUAAGACAAAAAGGGCAAUUAAUAGUUGGUUGUUGACUCCUCACCAUAUUAGUUAAAAAAAUGUUAUAAUGUAAAAUGUUAAUGUUAUAUUACGGCACUGUCGAUCUCUGUUUGAGAGAGUUGUUGUUAUAAUUGUUGAGAGUCGUUAUAAAUUUAAGACCAGUUAUCCUUCAAAUUUUGCAAGAUGCUUGUUUUUAGUUCCAACUGGUCAACUUUUAACUUUAUGCAAAAAUCAAGUUUUAUAUGCAGUUUUGGAUCAGUCAAGUGUCAUUAAGUACCAAUGAGUCUUCCAGCACCAUCUAUGCAUAUCUGUUGUUUGCUUUGUACAAGGUUUAUGGUUUGUUGUUUUCUUUGUAUAGAAUUUAGACUUUUGUGCUUCUGGUUUGUAUAUUAAAUGAUUUGCCUUUAAUAAUCUAUGUGGUCAUAGUAUGAGUGAGCUACUCCUGCAGAGGUCUUGGAUGCAGACUGUAAAGUUCAGACUAAAGCGUGUAUCUGUGUUUGUGUCAUUUCCAGUCAAAGAGUUAAACUUCCUUACUGCUUCCAUCUUUAGUGUGAAUAUGUUCAGCUUCACAGUUAUGACGACAGGGAUUCAGGGUGUAAUCUGUCCAGAUUUGCACCAACUUUGAGCCAGUAUUAGCCAUUACUUUAUAAUGGACACAAAGAGGGAAAAACUAAACCUCAUUCCACUCGACUUCUUUGUUAUUUUCCACUAAAGCUGAAGUUCAACUUUCUCACUUUUUACUGCCAAACCAAGCAACCAUCUGUCUUUUCAGCAACCUCUGUGGAAAGAAAUAUUAAAUUUGAACAAAGACUUUUUGAUUAUUUAGGCCUCUUUAUUCCCCCUAUGGUGGAUUAUGGCCUGUAAGUUUUCCUCCUGAAAUGAGUCACAGAUAUAACUGUGAUUCAUGCACAGCUCUACGGACCGUUCAUUUGCAUUUGACUUUAAACUUUAAAAGAGAAAAACUUUCACUUUGUGUCAAUUUAGGCAGCCCCUGCAGACAAAGCAGGACAUUUUAUUCUAUGCUGAUUCUGUCCACUUCAUUUAUAUGUAAUAGUCUCUGAAGAGAACUCCACUCCAUUUUAUUCUAGGCUGACUGCUCACUGCUGAGAUGUCCCUGCAUGGCCUGCCUGACACACCUCCAGCAGUGCAGUUGUGCUCCUGACAGGCCUCACAGAGCACUUCUGUGGGCCGUGUCUGGUUAUCAGCUGGUAACCACCAGUCAUUAUUGUUUCACUACUUUAAUCCCAGUUCCUCUUAGAGAUGGAGCACUGGCAGAAACUCUCCUUCACCCCCCUGCUGAUACACUUGGUGCUGACUCUUAACUCCUGUGCUUCUUUUUUCAGACACAACCAGAAGCUGCAUUUCGAUGCUUGUUCAGUCAGCCCCUGGUACAAAUCUCCAGUGUCCUCCUCCUGUUUGGCAGACUGAAGGUAGGUGAGCAAACUUCUCCACACCACUUUCUCUGGUAAUAUAAAAUCUAAAUGGAUGUUCUCAUUCCAUUUUCUGGUUUGCUUUAGAAGGAUAUACAGGGAAUCACUUAAAAUUGAGACUGUUGCAAACUAACUUAAUUUACAACUCCAAAAAAAUGGUGAGGGGACAAGUAACUGUGUGUAAAAACAGGUUUUGACUGUUUUUUAGUCAUGUACAACUUCAAACUUUUCUUUUUUAUUCAAACUAGCCACAUUGUUAAGAGGAGUCUUAUCAGAAGCAUGUUUACCGUUGUAAUACUCUAUUGUUGCCCCUCAAACGGAUGCUUGGCAACCAAGGACACCAAUUUCCAGAAUUUUGUAAAAACUUUUUUUAAUUUUGAUUUUAGCUGCUCAACAGUUCAAGGUCUUCUUUGUUGUGUUUUGGUUUUAUGAUGUGCCUCAUGUUUUCAGUGGGUGACAAGUAAGGACUCCAGGCAGGUUGGUCUAAAACUCAAAGUUUUCUACUACAGAGGCCCGCUGCAUAUGCAGUAAGGUUGCACGAUAUUGGAAAAAAAAAAAAAAAACUAACAUUCCAUUUUUUUUCAACCAUGCGAUAUAUAUUACAAUAUUAAAAAAUAGAGGAAUUUUCACCAGAUGACCUGAAUAGUACUUUAUGCAAUGCUUAUCUAUGAAAUCUUGUGGACAAUUAACCUGCACUGAUCUUACCUCUUUUUGUGAAUGUUAGUAGAGUGGCGUCUGUCUGUCUGUCUUAGAGAUGUUUUAGCUUGUUUUUAUUGUGCUGGGAUGUUAUUGUGGCAACAGAUGAACACAUAACACGUGUUUCGCCGACAUCAUCCUUCCUUUAACCAAAAUAAUUCCAGAUAACUAACUUUUCUUUUCUUUUUGUCAACAAGUCUUCAUUUUAAGUGUUUUUCUCUUGUUCAUUUCCCAUUUCGCAAUUGUUGUCGUUGUUACCGGUGUCGUGCCAAGAAUUGCAUGCACCUCGCAAAACACGCACUGCUUAUAGUACAGUGGUCCACAUAAACGUACGAUUUAAAACCCAUACAGUUCUUAUUUGUUGGGCUAAACAGUGAUGAGUAAUGCUUCGAAAGUAGUUCUCGGCAGACAUGCCAUUCUCAGCACAACACUGACAGUGCCAGUGACUCGCUCAAUGUGCAGGGGCGUGGUUUCCUCCUCUCUGAUUGGCAGCUGAGUAAAGAACCAAUGUGAUUGGUGGAUCGCUGCACAGCACAUGCAGUCACAUGCAGUGUAUCUCAGUCAGCUACCCUUGAAAUUAGAUGAGUUUAUUCCCCUCCCACAACUCAGGGUCUGUCAUGUGACUAUUGCGCACAAGUACAUUGCGAUGAUGGUACUCAAACAAUAUAUCAUGCAGCCCUAUUAUGCAGGAUGUUGUAUGCAGUUGUUUUGCUGAAAUAUGUGCAGUCUUUCUUGAAAAAGGCCAUGUUGGAUGAUAGCAUGAGGCUCUACAACCUGUUUGUAUGUUUAGCACCCGAUACUUAUGCUGGCUUCUAUACUGUAUGUUGGUAAAAAGCUGACUGGUGAUGACAGUUUGCUGUGAUUUUGAGCCUUUGCAGUGAUUCCCACUACAGAGUCCACCUGAGAGCCCAGAGAUCACAGUCAUCUAGUACUGUUUUUUUUAGCUUUGUCUCUUUCGUUGAGUUUGUUGAGAUCUUGAUCUUGAUCUUUGCACUUUGUAGUGACACAGUUCUGUGUUUUGUUGUCUGUGCCUCAACCUUUUGGGACACUUCACUAGCAUUAAAAUAUCAUUUUUAAACCAAAUUUAUUUUUCAGCAAAUUUCUCAGUUUGAACUUUUGAUAUGUUUUCUUUGCACUAUUCUCAGUUGAAUUUCAGCUGUAAAUAGUUGGCAAAACAUCAAAUUUUGUCACUAAGCAUUUUCCACAACAUCUCAGCUUUUUACAGUUGGGGCCUUCAACACCCUUUUCAAGCCAUAGCAGGCAGCACGUCUCAGUGGAAAAGCUCUGUAAAGCCCACUGUAAACUACAAAACACCAAAAAGAUGACAGACUCGGUUAGUGGCUGGCAUGGGAACACUGAAACAUCUCCAACUUAAAAGCCCAAUAUUUGUUUUUCUCUGGAGUUAGUGAGGGAUGAAACAGGGGUGAAAUAAGAGUUAUUCAUUCAUCUCUUCAACACAGACAUAACAGAGACUGUGGAUGUUACCCCGAGUGUGCUUGGGCCUUGAAAUAAGCAUUGCUUUGUGGUGUUUACAGUGACUGACACAGUCCUCAGGUGGAUAGAUCGAUAUAUUACAUUUGCGAUUCUCUUUAAUAAAUAUAAUCUCGGUUUGCAGUUUUCUUACUCUGAGUCAGAGUCGAUAAUGUGAAAAAAGGCCUCCUCUAUUUUGCUUUAGAUCCAGGUUUUGGCCCUACCCGGGUAGAAUAACACUGCCUUCAGAACCUACUAUGAAACACUUUGGUCGGGAAAGCCACAUCACUGCCUUGGCAGAGCUUCUCAGGUUGAUAUACAGCUGAAUUUUUGCUGUAUUCUUGGACUUCUUUUUCAAGAUAACCAGGUGAAAAAUGUGUGUCAAAAUCAUCCCAGAGACAGCAUACUUGACAUGGAUUAGCUUUAAAAGAAAAAAAAAAAAAAAACUGAAACUACCAAAGGUUAUCCUCAUUCAGCCUCCACUGAGGCCCAGUCAAUAACCAUUUUCAGUAGGAAGACAUCAAUAUGUAGUUAGAGGAUGUGAUGGAGUCAGCAUGGGGCUGGGGACCUACUGGGUUUGGAUGGAAACUCAUCUGGAUUUACUUGUAGUUGCACUAUUCAGUGUCUGACGCAAGACACCAGACCUAUUUCCUGUUACUCAUCUCCAUCAACUCACUUUCCCCUUGUGUUCCUUUCAUGGCUUCUCUGUCUCUGCUUGUCCUUUUAUUCAUACUCCUCGUACACCCUUUCCUGAGUGUGUAUACAAUAGGGACACAAACUGGGCCCAUUUUUUUCGCGAACUUGGCUAUAUUUCUCAGACUAGCUCAGGGUUGUUGCAGACAAAGAAAAGGUCAAGGUAAAAAUAACUGUGAAGGAUAUUAAGUAUGCCCAUAGAUUUCCGAGUAUUUCGGACGUCUUUAUAUGUACAACCCAAGUGUCUCCUGGUGUAAGAUUACCCUGAGGUGUUAUAGGUCAAUCUGCAGAGCACAAGAGUAACCUCUCUUCCCCUGACUGUGAAUGCAGUCUCAGUGCUAGCUUGACACUGCUGCACUGAUAUCAAGAGAUGGGAGUUUUUUUUUUUUUUUUUCCUUAAAGCUUCCUCACAUAUCUGUUUGCACAAAAAAGUUACCCAAGGCUGGAGCACAACAAUGGCAGACAUACUGUAGUGUCAAAUAUCUACUUUAAGAGUACAUCCACCGGGCAUACUGUAAACCAUAUUCAGGUUCUUAUUAUAAUAUGUACUAUUUUAUUUUUAUUUAUUUACUUAUUUAUUUUAUAAAUAUAUAUAUUUUUUCAUUUGAUUAGAUUUUUUUAUCUAUUUUUGCUUUAUUUUUUAUCUCAUGUUUAUAAUUUCAACAUGUUUAUAUUGAUAUUAUUUAUACUUAUAUUUAUAUGGUGGGGGGAUGGCAGGGGGAAUAGGGAGGAAAAGUUUUCUCUGUUCCAUGUAAAAUAAAUAAAAAAGCAGGCUUACUGUUUGGUCUGCUGUAAUUUGCGAACAAAAACUAAUAAAAAAAAAGGACAGCCACGGUUCAGCUCUAUUUAGCUAAUAAAGCUCCUGUGAGGAACUUGAGGUUUCUGUCAGUGUUGCUUACCUUGUCCUCUAUAUGAUAAAACAAAGGAAAAAUCAAAAGGAUCACUUAUUGUAAAUCUUUUAUGUAGAAAACAUUAAAAAGUCAGUUUGUUCUGCUGCUUGACUGACAUGUACCUUCUUGUAUCGGUUUCAUACGUUAGAAUUAAGAAAACAAAAACUGUCACUCUUGUCACAGAUGGUCUAGUCUUCUUCUCAACGGAAUAAAAAGGCAUCACUUUGAAUUUUUGGCCUAUUUCAAGUGGCUUUAUUCAGCUUUAACUCAGGGUGACAUUAUGCCAGUUGUGAUUUCUGCAGAAAUGUACAAGUAAUUAAGUAAAUUUAGUUAAUUUUUAACAAUUCUAUGACAAUUUAAUCUUACAGACUUAAUCUCUUAACAGCAUGGGAGCUUUUUAGCUUUUUAGUGGGUGUGUAUGUGAGUUUCUAUACUUCUAUAGCCAACCUCAAGCAGACUCCUCUGGGGGUUGAUCUUUCAGUCAUGAUAGGUGGUCUGAAAAAGAAAUCCUUCUCUUCAGGUUUUCUGAUUUCAUAAAGGUUACUAGGGAACUAAACAGAGGCCAAUUUUAAGAGAUCUAAAGCAGAACUGAAAGCCAAGAACGGCAAGCUAAUGUUUAAAUGGUCAUGUGACCAGUAAUUGAUUUGUUUUACUAAGACAGACACUUUAACACUGCACCUUUUAUUCAGAAUCCACAUCUCCUCUAGAUGUUUUUAAGUAAAAUCCCUUUAGGCUUUGUUUUAGGGCAAUUUAUGUCCUACAUAUUCUCUUAUUUGCCAGUGUACUCUGUCCAUUGCAUUAAAAUCUCUCCCACACCGCCAGAGCACGGUGAUGAGUGUCUCUUCGGUGCGUCACCGCAGGCACAGUCAGGAACCAUCGUAUAAGUGAUACAGCCCUUUUCUUUUUAGUAGAAGUCCAAGGAAAUAAAUAUAAACCUGGUGGCCACAGAGGAGGGUUUUGUUUCUUGACUCAGUGUUAAAAAACAUUCCUUUAUACUGCCACUUUUAUUCGUGUUUAAAUCAGCAGAACCAGCACAGCAGCAAUGCAUUGUGGGAGAGGCAAGAUUAUCCAACUAAGAUAAGGAACAGUGGCGUUUUUGAUGACUUGAUGUAAUGAUCCAAACAAACUAUAUUUAUGCAAACUGUAUAGGUGAGAGAGAGGGUCACACCAGCAUUAAAAGUAAGUGAUGAAGAUCUUGGGAUCAAAACAUGAUCGAAACACAAUGCAAAACUUGGGAUGUGAAAAAAGCUGCUACAUUAAAAGUCAAUCCACAAUGCUGCUAAAGAUCAUGUACUACAGUCAAACAGCAGUUUCAGCACCGCAGAAAGGUUAACAGCUCCCUCAGGGCACAUACACACAUGGGCCCUCAUUUAUCAAUCUUGCGUAGAACUGAGCGCAGGAUUCAUCGUACAAUAGGACAUACAUGAGAUUCAUGAAAGGGUUCAUAUCUGACCAAUCCCAGCGUACGUAUGAUCGGGUCUUGAUAAAAGUGGCAGCUGAAAUCGAUCGUCAAUAACAUGUUUACGCCCUGAAAUAUUUAUGGUUCAGAAGCCUCGCCCACUUAGGUCAAACAUGAAAGAGGAGAAAUAUUAGAACGUUUUCCGAGCUGAAAGUGGAUAUCCUCGCAUCUGUGGUGGAAACUAACAAGGCUUUUCUCUUUGGAAGCAUCAAAACUGGAAUUAAAGCAGUCCAGAAAACUCCCGUCUGGAGCAGGAUUAUGGUGGCGGUGAACAGCGCCAACAGAAUAGUGGACAGUGGCUGAAGUUUGAAUAAAUUAUUAUUCAAUAAGUUGCUCAUGAGGAUAAAUUAAUAUCUCAUACAUGCCUCAUAUUUUUUAUUGACAUCACAUAGGGUAUGUUGCUCCUGUUAUUGAAAGUAUUUAGUUUUAAUUUGUUGCGUCUUUGUUAUGUAGAGCAGACUGGAGAGUCUGACAGAGGCUGAGCAAAAAAAUUAUUAACGUCACUAAACGGUGUGUUGCUGCCCCAGAGGCACAUUUUUAUGGAUUUCUAUUGGAUUUUUAUCUCUGAUUAAAUAGCAAGAGCACUUUCUUAACUUAUACUUUAUAUUUCAGAAUCCAUGGAUAAGAUCCUGUCUCCUCUGUACAGCACCUUUGUGGAGUCUCUCCUUGUUAUUGUUUUCCAGGCAUCGGGUCCUCACGUUGCACCGGCACAGCCAACGGCACUCCAUUCUCCAGUGCACCAUUGUGCAAAACUGUACUGGCCCAAAUGAUGUCCCACACCCUUUCAGGAGUGUACAACAACGUCCCCACUGCUGGACCAAGACAGAGCUACCUGCCUUUGAGGAGUCAAACGCAGCGCUCCACAGUGGCACGUGUGUGCAUAAUGUUGAAACAGCGCUCCUGCUCUGUGGCAGUGUUUCUGAGCAG